ensembl:lncRNA
GUUUAUUCUUUCAACAGGCAAGAUUAUGAAAGAUGAUUUUCUUUUUUUUGUUAUUGUUUAAAGGCAGGUAGAAUUGAUUCUACCAAACUACCGACAGAUGCUAAACAAGCCUAUUGUCUAAGGUGCUAUCUCAGAGGAAAACAUUGCCUCUUAUUGUGGAGUGCGGUCAUUACUUCUCAUGCAGCUGUUUGUCAAGUUGUUUGGCAGCCUUUUGGUGCUGCUGUGGCCUCAAAAGGGUUAACAGCAAGUCAGCGGUGCUGCUGUAAUCCUCCAGGACUACCAGCAUGCUGCACUGUUGUUGUGUCAGACCGGGGGGUUCUGGAGGAAGCUGCGCUAGCUGUGGCAGCUGCCUCAGUCACGUCUGUCAUUUUGGGUUUCUGUUUUCAACAACAUGGCUGACGUAGCAGGUAAAGCAAAAGACCACCGUAGCCUGUACAGAACCAUGUUCUUCCACUCCCUCCCACAUCCAGAAAACGCCCUACCUCCUCAGAAAACGAACGCCGUGCGUCAGGAACACGUCCUCGUUGGGGGGAAAGCAAAAACGUGUGUUUGACAAACAACCCUUGUCCUGUCUGCAGUGGUGGAAACAAUGCAGGUAUUGGGGAACCUUCUACUAGAGCAAGGAAGGCAGCGAAGCUUGAACUAAAGAUCUGAAGCACUUUGCUGUGUCAUCUAUCUUCAUUGUCCCUUCUGGGAGCCACAGAAAUGGUACACACCCCAUCUGGGAACCAAAAACACCUAGCAACUGCAGCCUGAAUGAGGGCUUGAAAUGCUCUGCCAUUUCAUUUAUCUUCUCCGUCCCUCCUGGCAACCAGAGAAACAGUGGCUGAAGGCACACCCCACCCAGAAACCAGAGACAGCAAGUGCUGUACCCUGAGCAGAAGCCUGAAAGCAAGCCAUUCCAUUCAUCCCCUGCUUCCUGUCUGCAGCACUGUACCUGGCACAGGAGUCACUUAG